ACGAACGCUGGCGGCACGCUUAACACAUGCAAGUCGAACGAGAGAAGAGGAGCUUGCUUUUCUGAUCUAGUGGCGGACGGGUGAGUAACACGUGAGCAAUCUGCCUUUCAGAGGGGGAUACCGAUUGGAAACGAUCGUUAAUACCGCAUAACAUAAUUGAACCGCAUGAUUUGAUUAUCAAAGAUUUAUCGCUGAAAGAUGAGCUCGCGUCUGAUUAGCUAGUUGGUAAGGUAACGGCUUACCAAGGCGACGAUCAGUAGCCGGACUGAGAGGUUGAUCGGCCACAUUGGGACUGAGACACGGCCCAGACUCCUACGGGAGGCAGCAGUGGGGAAUAUUGCACAAUGGAGGAAACUCUGAUGCAGCGAUGCCGCGUGAGGGAAGAAGGUUUUGGGAUUGUAAACCUCUGUCUUCAGGGACGAAAAAAGACGGUACCUGAGGAGGAAGCUCCGGCUAACUACGUGCCAGCAGCCGCGGUAAUACGUAGGGAGCGAGCGUUGUCCGGAAUUACUGGGUGUAAAGGGAGCGUAGGCGGGAUCGCAAGUCAGAUGUGAAAACUAUGGGCUUAACCCAUAAACUGCAUUUGAAACUGUGGUUCUUGAGUGAAGUAGAGGUAAGCGGAAUUCCUAGUGUAGCGGUGAAAUGCGUAGAUAUUAGGAGGAACAUCAGUGGCGAAGGCGGCUUACUGGGCUUUAACUGACGCUGAGGCUCGAAAGCGUGGGGAGCAAACAGGAUUAGAUACCCUGGUAGUCCACGCCGUAAACGAUGAUUACUAGGUGUGGGGGGACUGACCCCUUCCGUGCCGCAGCAAACGCAAUAAGUAAUCCACCUGGGGAGUACGACCGCAAGGUUGAAACUCAAAGGAAUUGACGGGGGCCCGCACAAGCAGUGGAGUAUGUGGAUUAAUUCGAAGCAACGCGAAGAACCUUACCAGGUCUUGACAUCGUAUGCAUAGCUCAGAGAUGAGUGAAAUCUCUUCGGAGACAUAUAGACAGGUGGUGCAUGGUUGUCGUCAGCUCGUGUCGUGAGAUGUUGGGUUAAGUCCCGCAACGAGCGCAACCCUUACUGUUAGUUGCUACGCAAGAGCACUCUAGCAGGACUGCCGUUGACAAAACGGAGGAAGGUGGGGAUGACGUCAAAUCAUCAUGCCCCUUAUGACCUGGGCCUCACACGUACUACAAUGGCUGUCAACAGAGGGAUGCAAAGCCGCGAGGUGGAGCGAACCCCUAAAAGCAGUCUUAGUUCGGAUUGUAGGCUGCAACCCGCCUACAUGAAGUCGGAAUUGCUAGUAAUCGCAGAUCAGCAUGCUGCGGUGAAUACGUUCCCGGGCCUUGUACACACCGCCCGUCACGCCAUGGGAGUCGGUAACACCCGAAGCCUGUAGUCUAACCGCAAGGAGGACGCAGUCGAAGGUGGGAUUGAUGACUGGGGUG
rnacentral:rRNA from 1 species